rnacentral:lncRNA from 1 species
CACGCUCACCCUGGAGAGGGGCUCUGCAGAUGCACCAGGAAGGGCACCAUCCUCCUGUCACCUGCUGAUGGAUGGAGUCUGGAAGUAAGCCACCCAGAGCUGGUAAGUUGUCUUUUCCUGUUACUCCAACAUCUGGCUUCCACUUUAUUAUCCAAGGCUGUUGCUCAUUGUCAAGCCAUCCUGUCCACAUUCUAGGAAGCAGGUAGGAGGAAGAAGGAAAAACUGCAAGCCCCUCCCAUUGAGGAGACUUCCUGGAAAUUUCACGCUACACUUCUGACAAUUCAUUGGCUACAAUUUAGCCACACCUAGCUGCAAAAGAUCCUGGGAAAUGUAGUCUAUUCUGGGAUACCAUGUGUCCAUUAGGGAAUGCUAUACUAAGGAAGUAGGGAAGGAUGGACACUGGGGUGCCACUAGCAGUCUUUACCAGGAUAAUAUAUUAGUAAACUAGCACAUGUGCAUACUCACAAAGAAAUAAAUGUACUUGUUGGGGGCAUAGCUAAAAUUAGGUUUUUUGGAUAGAGUUCAAAGACCACUGCUAUGGAUCGUAGCACCCUAGAAGUGCAUAUAAUUGAUUGAAGGAAGGAGUAAGGAAUUUUUUUUCCCACCUUGCGUCCAUUUAUCCUUCUUCUGGUAAAAUAGUAUGGAGAAUCUUGUGUGGGGAUUCAUCCCUCCCCUACUCUCAGCCAUGCAGUUAUGAGGGGGCCCUAAUUAGUCUUAGCUAACCAACUUCUCCCAUCCUCUUGGCUAUUGGAAUUGGUGUAGGUUACUGAGAGUCAGGCCUAGGACUUUCAUUUGACUCUUAGAAGGGAGACAGUGGACAUAAGCUGAGAGCACAGGAAGUGAGGAGCUGCCCAAACCCUCUUACAGUUGUGACAAGAGAGCUUGUCUAAGAAUGCAGCCAACAUCCAGAGGAGAGGGGAGCCACAUUGUCAUUCAAGCUCCUGUAUCAAGCUGCAUCUGAACACAGCAUGAGUUGUGAUGAGGAGCCACCUUGGACCAGAUGGAUGAGGUCAAUCCCCCAAAAUUGGCAGAGCAACUAGGUGGAAAGAGCCUGGGACUGGAUGACUUCCUGGAGCAGAGCCACAGUACCUGCCUGGAUGUCUACGUGAAAG